rnacentral:lncRNA from 1 species
GCGGCCGCGGCUCCGCCCCGGGUUCCCACCGCCUGAAGGGCGAGACAAGCCCGACCUGCUACAGGUUGCUCCUUGAGGGCAGGACAGUUCUUAUGGCUUUAUCCGUUGCGUAAGCACAGAGAGGUCUGCGAGGUCAAAACUAUUGUCAUGAUAGCAAGAUGCCUGUCUUUUUCAUUUAUUCUCACGGUGUGCAGAGGCUACAUGAUGUGUGAUGACAUCCUCAUUGAUGUUAAUGAAUGGUGCUAUACUUGAAUUUUCUAAGGUGUCAUUAGCAAUUCUCCUGCCUCAGCCUCCUGCAUAACUGGGACUACAGGGAAGCACCAUUUUCCACAAAACUCUCAAGAAGGACUUGUUGCAACUGGAAAAGCAAUUAAAUGUGAAUCGUGAUCCAGGAGAAAGUAACAACUCACAUAACUCCCAAAUUAAAAGUUUUCCAAAGAUAUAUCAUUUUUUUUCUCUUGGCCUUUUAAGAAACUAGCCAACAAAUACUCUUGACAGGUUUGUGUUUGGUUUUGAAAACACACACCUUAGUGUACUGAAAGAAAAACAAUUUCUUUUAAUUUGGUUUGUUGGUCCCACACCCCAUCUAUCAAUGUAUGUGCUAUUUACAAAUAAGUUCUAUACAGUAUUUUUGCAGUACCUUUGAUAAUUCCUAGACCUCUAUUUUCAUUCUGUGUAUUAAUGUGAAUAACAGAUGGAUAUUUUAAUAUUUAAGGCAGAUGGUAAACUUUCCUAUAGGUCUUGUGAGACUUCGUCUUAUAGGCUGAACACCAUUCACAAAAUGUAAUAAUGCUUCAUUCCUUCAGGUUGAGGUAAAGAACUUGAGCAACUGGAUUAGCAAAGCUGCAAAGAAUGAAAUGUGGCCUAAGAUGUAAUUAUGUUCUCUGCCCUUCCUUUGGGCCAGGGUAGUUUUGCACUUGACACAAUGGAAAAUAGGCCAUAAAGCCUGAAAAUAAAAUGUUCUAAACCCCAA